CAGCAGCCGCGGGAAUACGAAGGGUGCAAGCGUUAAUCGGAAUUACUGGGCGUAAAGCGUGCGCAGGCGGUUAUAUAAGACAGAUGUGAAAUCCCCGGGCUCAACCUGGGAACUGCAUUGGUGACUGCAACGCUGGAGUGCGGCAGAGGGGGAUGGAAUUCCGCGUGUAGCAGUGAAAUGCGUAGAUAUGCGGAGGAACACCGAUGGCGAAGGCAAUCCCCUGGGCCUGCACUGACGCUCAUGCACGAAAGCGUGGGGAGCAAACAGGAUUAGAUACCCGAGUAGUCCCUGUCUCUUAUAA
rnacentral:rRNA from 1 species